rnacentral:tRNA from 1 species
GGACCGGUAGUUCAAUUGGCUAGAGCACCGCCCUGUCACGGCGGAAGUUGCGGGUUCGAGCCCCGUCCGGUCCGCCA